UGAAAACACGUUGGGAAAGCGGAAUGCAUAGACUAACCAGAGGCACUAUGGGUAAUGGAUACCGGGUGAUACUGACGAGAAAUUCCUACGAGUGAGCCGUUGACGUCGGUUACAUAAGGGCGAGUCUCUCUUGAAACAUUCCCCCUACGGUAGAUACCUGCCGCUGCAUUCUUCGCUCCUGCAUCGGGCCGGAUGCCACGGUUUACCUAAUCCUCAAUAACAUGAUCGUCCUCGAGAAGUCCGGCUUCCAUAAUCGUCCAGGGUCCUUGUGAACGUAAAAACGGAUUACGGUAAACUCCGGAACACUUGCCAAUUCUCCUGUGGAGGCUAUACAACGUUCUUGAAAUGCUAAUCGACAUUAAUCAUCUACAAGGAAUGGAGCUCGUCGGUUUCCGGAACUGGUGCUUUCCCAUCUGAAUUCUGAAGGAAGUAAACGAUCCGAUGGGUGUCGUCGGGGAUGACGUCGAAGGUCCAGGAUGUCUAAGGACGAUGGUGGCUGAAGAUUCUCGUACCGCAAUAAGAGAAACGACCUCCUGGUCCAUUGAGGAGCGGAUGUGACGCUACGGGGAUGCGGCGUCUUCUUUGCUGGAUGAGAACGGACGAAUAAACUCGGAGGAUACCGCCACACAAUGAACGCUCUCCGGCCCUGCUUUGUCCGUCGGGAAUGCGGCCUUUGUCACCUACGGAGAAUGGAAUGCGUGCUCACCGGCCCUGCAUUGUCCGCGCCUACCGGCGCUCGCUCCGGAACAGAAUGGAACGGAAUGAAACGAAAUGAUUUCACACAAAAGAUUCUCGUCUGGCACCGCGCGAGACGGGAUUAAUUAUCCGCUAAUCCGCGAGACGCACCUUCCCCGAAGAAAUCUCAGCGUCGGACACACGUAUCACGUGUAGGGAUAGGAAGCGCAUAUCCAUACGUAGAUGAUGGGAUAGCUACGGGAGCUCCUCCAGAACCCCCCGUCCUCAGUAUCAUCCUCAUGGGUCAGUCCAGGAAGACUCGACGUCUCUACGUGACCGAGCAUGGAAAUCCUGUACAAUAAAGCAGUUUACGAUACCGUACAAGCAGGUUGUACCUGUAACUGCAUAGUACAACAGUACACCAGGUAUCUACUGGGAAACUUUCUUGCCCGGAAAGUAACGAGGGUGAUGACCAAUUGUCCCUGUUAAACGAGACUUAUAGUAAAUCAAAAGGAACUGGUUGAUACCAGCUGGAUGAUGGUGUCUUUGAAAAUCUUUUCCAUAGGUACUUUCCAGACUGUAAUUCUAAAACAAAAGUAACGUAAGGCCAUAGGAAGGAGCAACAUCAGCAGUCGAGUCGUCACUCGACUUGUGAAUCCGCCUGAAAAAUCGCUAUGUAUCCGUAGACGUUGCGCAAGUGGGGAGACGAGAGGACGUCGUCUAAGGGGUCACCUAAGAUCCAAAUUUGCAAUCAUCUUCCGUCGACUCCUUGGAAACCGGCCAAUUUUCCAAACGCGACGAUUGAUUUGAGAUUUUGGUGAAGAAGGGUCAGACUUUUCCAACUGACGUGUCGACGAAAGCCAUCGACGCCAUGCUCCACUUCCUGGACAGCUUCCUGGAACUAGUCCCUGUAACCGAUCAUCUAUUUUUAUAAAUCAUCCAACGAAUCACGUUUCAUGCCAUUAUGUCAGUGAAUAAAAUUUCCAUCCCGGUAGAUCUUAUCUUUGUAUCCUUUGAAUAAUCUCAUCGUUCCAAGAAGAUGACUUCCAUCACUACCACAAAGCAUCCUCAUACAUCACCUGUGUUCCAUACUAAUCAUUAAGUAGCGGUAUGACAAUUGGCCUUAAAAUAUUUUAUUGGCCAUCAUCACAGGCGCCUAGUCCAGUCGAUCGUAACUCAGACUUCAAAAGCAUCGAAAUUCACGUGGCGUUCUAAAAUGUGCGCAUCGAAUCCCACCGAAGGUAACAUGGCUGCCUGUCCAGACUAAAAUCCGAAAAGUACAAGGAAUAAGAUAGACGUAUCGGAAUUCGUUCCCAGCGAUACCCCGAGUGUUGAACAGGAUUGGCGUGAAAACGGUCGUCCAGCACAACGUAAAUAGAUUCAGUAAGAAUAUUCGCGUAUCCCGAAGAAGACGUCCCUGAGCAGUUAUGAUUCGCUAGUGAAAAUCAUUCUUACCAAUGGCUGUACCACCCUAGAGGAAAAAUCUAGGAUUCCCGUCUUGCACCUCGUCCUCGCGUAUUCACGGCUCUCGCAACGGGUCGAGAGUGCCGCGUAUGAGAAUCUGUGUCAUGUCGCGUAAACACACUAUAAUAAUACUAUAAAUACACUGGCGGCGAGACCAAACAUAUGUAUGCAGGCGCCGGCGCCGACGCUCGCUUACAUUAUACGUCGCUAUUAUCCAGCCUACGGCUCGUUACCGAACCCAACCUAACCUAACCGUCCUCGCACAUCACCAACAAUGACACGCGAGCACUUAAAGCACGCUUCACAAUGAACUCUAAUCAGACCCAAAAGGACAAACAAAAAGUCUAAAUCAAUUUGAUUCCUUUAUCAUUAUAAUGUGAUUCGAUGACUUGCCGUCGCCCGCUGGCAAAGCGAAUCCCGUUCGUCUUUAUGAGUUCACAGUUCGUGCGACGGCCGACCUACGAAAGCAUUUUGAAAUUUUAGUACCAAAAAUUGCCACGAGCACGGAGCGCUCUGAUUAGCUGACGACGCUUCUGUUACGUUACUAUGCCGCCGAAUCUCAACGGAUUUGCCAAAUUCGCAAGCAUGUGCUGCCGAUCAAAUAAUAACAUUGAAUGAAUUAUUCGAGGAAAAACGGCCAUUCUUCUUGGCGAUGAAAAGCCAUAGGAAGCAAUUGCCGAACACCUGUUCCUUAACAAUCUAUCCACUGGGUAACAAGGUGAAUUGGAAAGGACGUGGACCAACUGCCUUGUACAAUGUUUCCAAAGGGAACGUGCCAGCUGAUCCUAACAGUUUUGAAUGGUCUCUUUAUGUCAGUUGAAAAGUACAAACACACUCGGCGACGUACGUACAGUUGGAAUGUAUGAGAAACAGAAAAAAAAUUUCAACAAUAAUUAUAUAUCUUCUACACUUAAGAGCAAGCGUGGGUGCGUGACGCUUACAAUCAUGGGAAAGUUAGUAGCAAUGGCCUUUUACCC